rnacentral:rRNA from 1 species
AUUGAACGCUGGCGGCAGGCCUAACACAUGCAGGUCGAGCGGAUGAAGGGAGCUUGCUCCUGGAUUCAGCGGCGGACGGGUGAGUAAUGCCUAGGAAUCUGCCUGGUAGUGGGGGAUAACGUCCGGAAACGGGCGCUAAUACCGCAUACGUCCUGAGGGAGAAAGUGGGGGAUCUUCGGACCUCACGCUAUCAGAUGAGCCUAGGUCGGAUUAGCUAGUUGGUGGGGUAAAGGCCUACCAAGGCGACGAUUCGUAACUGGUCUGAGAGGAUGAUCAGUCACACUGGAACUGAGACACGGUCCAGACUCCUACGGGAGGCAGCAGUGGGGAAUAUUGGACAAUGGGCGAAAGCCUGAUCCAGCCAUGCCGCGUGUGUGAAGAAGGUCUUCGGAUUGUAAAGCACUUUAAGUUGGGAGGAAGGGCAGUAAGUUAAUACCUUGCUGUUUUGACGUUACCAACAGAAUAAGCACCGGCUAACUUCGUG